AGUGAACGCUGGCGGCGUGCUUAACACAUGCAAGUCGAACGAGAACGGGUUAUAGCUUGCUAUAAUUGUCAGCUAAGUGGCGCACGGGUGAGUAAUGUAUAGGUAAUAUGCCUCUUACUAAGGGAUAACAAAUGGAAACGUUUGCUAAUACCUUAUACUCCUUAUUAACAGAAGUUAAUAAGGGAAAGAUUUAUUGGUAAGAGAUUAGCCUGUAUUGUAUCAGUUAGUUGGUGGGGUAAUGGCUUACCAAGACUAUGACACAUAACUGGUUUGAGAGGAUGAUCAGUCACACUGGAACUGAGACACGGUCCAGACUCCUACGGGAGGCAGCAGUGGGGAAUAUUGCACAAUGGACGAAAGUCUGAUGCAGCAACGCCGCGUGGAGGAUGACACAUUUCGGUGCGUAAACUCCUUUUAUAUGAGAAGAUAAUGACGGUAUUAUAUGAAUAAGCACCGGCUAAAUACGUGCCAGCCGCCGCAGUAA
rnacentral:rRNA from 1 species